rnacentral:lncRNA from 1 species
GCUCCCGCACACAUAAGAUAUUGUCUGCUAUAGUCUCUGGCCACUAUUGCAUAGGGCUUCAUGGUUUUGCCCUUUAAAAGACACUUCAUAGGGGAGAAAAGAUCCCAUCUCAUAUCAACUAGAGUCCCCUUAACUCACAAUCAAUGUGGGACUAAUGAUGUCUUCUCUCCUACACCACAAUAUAACCUCCCAAUUAAGAGAAACUUUAGAUAAGGUUGUGGGAGGUGCACCAUAGUUCGUUGAAAGCACAUCGACCCUUUCUCUAGCAUCAAAAUUACUGUCAAGAACUCG